GGCCCAACCUGGGAAUGUGGGACCAAGCUGGGGUACAGAGUAUCGAGCCACUUCCAGAGGUGUGUGCUGACCAGGCGAUGAGGAGCAAUGGUUCAGGACACAGGCUUUGGAGGAAGACUGCCUGGUUUGAAUUCCAGCUCUGCCGCCCAGUGCCUGAGUGGACCUUAAGCCUCCGGUUCCCCAUCUGUAAAAUGGGUCUGUGAUAACAACAGGGAGGCUGGAAGGAGUUGAUACAAGCAAAGCCCUCGGAAAGUAUCUGACCCAUACUGAACACUCAAUAAAUGCUAGCCCUCGUUAUUUUUUA